rnacentral:miRNA from 2 species
GAUGAUGAUGGCAGCAAAUUCUGAAA